rnacentral:sRNA from 1 species
UUUUUUUUUAAUAUGAUAGACCUUCUGCAGUCAUCAAUGUACUGUAAAGUAUUCAUGAAUUCUGUUAUAUUAAUAUUCAUACGUUGCUACAUUGCUAUCCUGGCCAUUGGCUGGAAUAGACAUUUUCAUGCAUUUUAAAAUGUACUUUGUUUUGUUAAUUUUGGUAAGAUACUACUUCGAAGAUUGUUCAUGGCUUUAGUGGUCCUUUGUGUUUUACUGCACUGUAACAUGGAAAAAAGAACAACUUAAAUGUAACUAAAUUUUAUAUACAUUGUAUUUCUUCUCCUCGUUAGCUCAUAAUUGACAUGCAAUUGAUUUCAUAUAUAUGUACAUAUAUUUAUAUAUAUAUAUAUAUAUAUAUAUAUAUAUAUAUGUACAUUUAAGUUUAUAGCACUUCUGUUCAUUUCUCCUAGAUAUUACUGUAGUACAUGUAUAUAGUAAGUAUACCAUCCGAUUAUCUCUCUGGAUGCUUUGAAUUGUGUAAUUUAUUAGACAUUUUAAUGAUUUGCCCACUCAUAUUAUAAAUGAUAAUUAUAUUAGAUAGAUUAGUUUCCUACGCAGUAGAUCAUACUCCAUAGGAAAUAGAAAUCAUUCGUUGCAAUGUUCACACGUAGCCUGGCUAACGGGUGACAUUAUAAAUAUAAAUCAUCAUAAUUUAAAAUAUCAGCUUAAUAUUCAUUCUGUGUUUUAUCUACUUUGAUUAAAUCUUAUUAUUCUAUACAAUGCAUUUAUUUAAAUUUGAACAAACUGUAAUCUUAUUUCCACAGAUCUUCCAAAUGUUAAUGUCUGAAUCUACAUUACAUGUACAUUUGUAUUUUUGUUUUAUUUUUUGUUUAUUUCACCAAGGUGUUCACUAUAUAUUUUCCCAUAUUAUUAUAUUUUUUGAAUUAUUUGUUUGUUAAGGGGUUAUGUUUCCAAUUAUCAAUGAAUCAAUAAAGUAUGUUAUUAU